rnacentral:rRNA from 1 species
UACGUAGGGUCCGAGCGUUGUCCGGAAUUAUUGGGCGUAAAGGGCUCGUAGGCGGUCCGUCACGUCGGGAGUGAAAACUCAGGGCUCAACCCUGAGCGUGCUUCCGAUACGGGCGGACUAGAGGUAUGCAGGGGAGAACGGAAUUCCUGGUGUAGCGGUGGAAUGCGCAGAUAUCAGGAGGAACACCAGUGGCGAAGGCGACUACCUGGCCUGUUCUUGACGCUGAGGCGCGAAAGCUGGGGGAGCAAACGGG